rnacentral:lncRNA from 1 species
CGCGGCUGCCAUUUUGGAGUCUGGCAGCUGCGACGGGCGCCGUGUCCGGCCGGGGAAAGGGAGGAGCCAGUCAGUCUUAGGGAGAAGGAGAGGAAAGUGCUGAAUGGAGGGCGUGAGUGCCGAGUAGGAAAAUGUGAAUGAGUCUCUCCAGCGCCCUUCAGCAUGGAGCCACCCAGUUAGCAAGUUCCAAGAUCCACGGGAAACCGGGCACCUCCUGCAAUUCAAGUAUUCCUAUCCCCGCCCCCAGCUGCCACAAAAAUGACUCACAAAUCGGAGGGAGGGGUGUCGGUCUCCGUCGUUUUGUCUGCAUUUUAUAUGGAAGGGCCCCCUCCCUGGAAAUGGCUGAAAGGGUGGAGGAAGAGAAGCAUAGUUCACGCCUGCAAGGGCUCUUCCCGCUGGCUUUUUUUUUUUUUUUUUUUUUGGUAGACAGUGUCUUCCUGUGUUGCCCAAGCUAAUCUCGAACUCCUGGGUUCCAGGGAUCCUCCUACCCCGGCCUCCCCUCCCAAAGUGCUGGGGUUACAGGCGUGAACCACCAUGCCCGGCCCCACUAGUGUUUUAGAAACCUUGUCGUCGUUCACAAACGUACCGGUCACUUCUUAAGUGUUAGACAUAACCUUGAUCAUGUUCCAGCGCCUCAACUUAAUAAACCAAAAAGCUCUCCUGUGAGACUGUCUAGCUCUCAUCCUUUAUUUCAAUUCAUCCCUCAAGUACUGGCUAAGUUAUUCUCCCA